rfam:Trichobilharzia regenti genome assembly, scaffold: TRE_scaffold0020373
GCGUCGGUGGCAUAGUGGUUAGGAUGCUCGCCUACCAUGCACAUAGUCCGGGUUCGAUCCCCGACCGACGCA